rnacentral:rRNA from 1 species
AACGAACGCUGGCGGCAGGCUUAACAUAUGCAAGUCGAACGCAUCCUUCGGGGUGAGUGGCAGACGGGUGAGUAACGCGUGGGAACGUGCCCUUCAGUUCGGGAUAACCCAGGGAAACUUGGGCGAAUACCGGAUACGUGCGAGAGCAGAAAGAUUUAUCGCUGAAGGAUCGGCCCGCGUCUGAUUAGCUAGUUGGUGGGGUAAUGGCCCACCAAGGCGACGAUCAGUAGCUGGUCUGAGAGGAUGAUAAGCCACAUUGGGACUGAGACACGGCCCAAACUCCUACGGGAGGCAGCAGUGGGGAAUAUUGGACAAUGGGCGCAAGCCUGAUCCAGCCAUGCCGCGUGAGUGAUGAAGGCCUUAGGGUUGUAAAGCUCUUUCGUCCGGGACGAUAAUGACGGUACCGGAAGAAGAAGCCCCGGCUAACUUCGUGCCAGCAGCCGCCGUAA